GUGUGUGUGUGUGUGUGUGUGUGUGUGUGUGUGUGUGUGUGUGUGUGUGUGUGUGUGUGUGUGUGUGUGUGUGUGUGUGUGUGUGUGUGUGUGUGUGUGUGUGCGCGCGCGUAUCUGCGUCACUGCCCUUCCCCCCAUGCUGUAUAAACUGUAAUGAAAGUGAAAGUCAGCAGCUCCAUUUUGUGACGAGGGAAAAGUAAAAGAUUUGAGGAGUAAAAACACAGGUUUAAUUUAACACACCGAUGUUGGAGUGAAGUAAACGUGUGUCCUGCUGUAAUCUGGAGAAGGAGACAUGACCUCCAACAUGAGUGGGUCUGGACAACAGGACUUGAAGAAAGACGAGAGAAUGAUGGAGGGAAAGAGAUCAGACUCACCAGAACCCAGCUGUGUGUCCAUGAAGAGUGACAACUCAAUGAUACGUCCAAUAUACUUCAGAGACAGAGACAGUCCUACUGAUGUGAGACCACAAAAAUCAAACAUCAGGAGAAAACAGCUGGACUCUAUAUUCAAGG